rnacentral:pre_miRNA from 1 species
AGGAAGGUUAACUUGUCUUUUCCUGGGGAAAAAAAAAAAUAAUCCAGCAUUUCCUCCCAAGUCAAGUGGCUUUA